rnacentral:ncRNA from 2 species
AUAAGGAUCAAUUUUAGCGGUUGCCUCGGGCCAACGGAACACGGUGAAACUCCGUGGCGGUCCCGCCGCUGUAACCGGAAAUAUCUGUUUUGGGAUAAUGCCACUGUGAAAACGGGAAGGCGGUCAAACCAGGUUUAAUGCCGGAAGCCAGAAGACGAUCCGGGCAAUUUAAAAAGUG